rnacentral:rRNA from 1 species
CCUACGGGAGGCUGCAGUGGGGAAUAUUGGACAAUGGGCGAAAGCCUGAUCCAGCCAUGCCGCGUGUGUGAAGAAGGCCUUCGGGUUGUAAAGCACUUUCAGUGGGGAAGAAAGCCUUGGGGCUAAUACCCUCGAGGAAGGACAUCACCCACAGAAGAAGCACCGGCUAACUCCGUGCCAGCAGCCGCGGUAAUACGGAGGGUGCGAGCGUUAAUCGGAAUUACUGGGCGUAAAGCGCGCGUAGGCGGUCUGAUAAGCCGGUUGUGAAAGCCCCGGGCUCAACCUGGGAACGGCAUCCGGAACUGUCAGGCUAGAGUGCAGGAGAGGAAGGUAGAAUUCCCGGUGUAGCGGUGAAAUGCGUAGUGAUCGGGAGGAAUACCAGUGGCGAAGGCGGCCUUCUGGACUGACACUGACGCUGAGGUGCGAAAGCGUGGGUAGCAAACAGGAUUAGAUACCCCGGUAGUC